GAUGAACGCUGGCUACAGGCUUAACACAUGCAAGUCGAGGGGAAACGCCGGGGAAGCUUGCUUUGCCGGGCGUGGACCGGCGUACGGGUGAGUAACGCGUAUUCACCCUGCCUCUGACUGAGGUAUAACCAGUCGAAAGUCGGCCUAAUACCGCAUUGCAUCUGCUGCGUGCAUCCAACGACGAUUAAAGAGUUGAUCGGGCAGAGGUGGGGUGGCGUCUGAUUAGCUUGUUGGCGGGUUAACGGCCCAUUAAGGCGUCGAUCAGUAGGGGUUCUGAGAGGAACGGCCCCCACAGUGGGACUGGGACACGGGGCAAACUCAUACGGGAGGCAGCAGUGCGGGAUAUUGGUGAAUGGGAGAGAGCCUGAUCGAGCCAAGUAGCGUGCAGGAACGCGGCCCUAGGGAUUGUAGCCUGCUGUUAUGCGGGGGUAAAGUGAGGGACGUGACCUUCAUUGAAGGUACUGGAUGAAUAAGCACCGGCUAAUUCCGUG
rnacentral:rRNA from 1 species